CUUUACUGUAGCCUGGAAUUGGGUCCGGGCUUUGCUUGCGCAGGAUAGGUGGGAGGCGAAGAACUUUUCCUUGUGGGGAAAAGCGAGCCAAUGGUGAGAUACCACUCUGGCGAAGCUAGGAUUCUAACCUGAGUCCGUUAACCGGAACAGGAACAAUUUCAGGUGGGCAGUUUGACUGGGGCGGUCGCCUCCUAAAGUGUAACGGAGGCGCGCAAAGGUUCCCUCAGGCUGGUUGGAAAUCAGCCGUAGAGUGUAAAGGUAGAAGGGAGCUUGACUGCGAGAACAACAAUUCGAGCAGGGUGGAAACACGGCCUUAGUGAUCCGACGGUGCCGCGUGGAAGGACCGUCGCUCAACGGAUAAAAGUUA
rnacentral:rRNA from 1 species